GGCGUAAAUUACUAAAGAAAAGAUGGAAGACUUCAUUCAGAAGUCUAUCAUAUGCAGAUUCAGAUUACUGCAUACCAUCAUCAUCAAUAAUGGUUGACAGUUCGAUAAUCAGAAGUUCAAAAAAUUUUAUGUGAAACUUUAAGCAUAAGCUCACUUCUAUCAGUCAUCUAUAAUCAAACGGUGAAGCAGAGGUGACAAAUCGAACAAUCCUACAUGGUCUCA
rnacentral:lncRNA from 1 species